rnacentral:tRNA from 1 species
GGGGUGGUGGCUCAGUGGUAGAGUGCUUGCUUAGCAUGCAUGAGGCAUUGGGUUCAAUCCUCAGCACCACA